UUCAUUUCAUUUUGCUAGUCGCUUUUCCUUUGGACAUCUGCACAAAACUUUACCAAUAUUUACGAAAUGUCAUAAAAACAGAAGUACAUAAAGUCGUUUUUUCUAUUUAAUCACAAAUGCAAUGACUUGUUUAUUCAUUAUCGUGGGAUAACACUAGAAGUCGUUCCAUAAACAUGGCGACAAACGUAAAUAUUGUGUUGAUUUACAGAUAUAUUCAUUAUUAUUAU